GAUGAACGCUGGCGGCGUGCCUAAUACAUGCAAGUCGAGCGAAUGGAUUAAGAGCUUGCUCUUAUGAAGUUAGCGGCGGACGGGUGAGUAACACGUGGGUAACCUGCCCAUAAGACUGGGAUAACUCCGGGAAACCGGGGCUAAUACCGGAUAACAUUUUGAACCGCAUGGUUCGAAAUUGAAAGGCGGCUUCGGCUGUCACUUAUGGAUGGACCCGCGUCGCAUUAGCUAGUUGGUGAGGUAACGGCUCACCAAGGCAACGAUGCGUAGCCGACGGGAGAGGGUGAUAGGGAACAGUGGGCCUGAGACACGGCCCAGACUCCUACGGGAGGCAGCAGUAGGGAGUCUUCCGCAAUGGACGCAAGUCUUCCGGAGCAACGUCGCGUGAGUUAUGAAGGCUUUCGCGUCGUAAAACUCUGUUGUUAGGGAAGAACAAGUGCUAGUUGAAUAAUCUGGCACCUUGACGGUACCUAACCAGAAAGCCACGUCUAACUACGGGCCAGCAGCCGCAGGUAA
rnacentral:rRNA from 1 species